AGUGGCGAACGGGUGAGUAACACGUGAGAAAUCUGCCCUUUAGACUGGGAUAACUACUGGAAACGGUUUUGUAAUACCGGAUGUCUUCUUUGUACCGCAUGGUACUUAGAGAAAAGCUUAGAUGCACUAAAGGAUGAUCUCGCGGCGUAUUAGUUAGUUGGUGAGAUAGUGGCUCACCAAGACAAUGAUGCAUAGCCGAGUUGAGAGACUGAUCGGCCACAUUGGGACUGAGACACGGCCCAAACUCCUACGGGAGGCAGCAGUAGGGAAUCUUCCACAAUGGACGAAAGUCUGAUGGAGCAACGCCGCGUGAGUGAAGAAGGGUUUCGGCUCGUAAAGCUCUGUUGGUAGUGAAGAAAGAUAGAGGUAGUAACUGGCCUUUAUUUGACGGUAAUUACUUAGAAAGUCACGGCUAACUACGUGCCAGCAGCCGCGGUAAUACGUAGGUGGCAAGCGUUGUCCGGAUUUAUUGGGCGUAAAGCGAGUGCAGGCGGUUCAAUAAGUCUGAUGUGAAAGCCUUCGGCUCAACCGGAGAAUUGCAUCAGAAACUGUUGAACUUGAGUGCAGAAGAGGAGAGUGGAACUCCAUGUGUAGCGGUGGAAUGCGUAGAUAUAUGGAAGAACACCAGUGGCGAAGGCGGCUCUCUGGUCUGCAACUGACGCUGAGGCUCGAAAGCAUGGGUAGCGAACAGGAUUAGAUACCCUGGUAGUCCAUGCCGUAAACGAUGAGUGCUAAGUGUUGGGAGGUUUCCGCCUCUCAGUGCUGCAGCUAACGCAUAA
rnacentral:rRNA from 1 species